AUUGAACGCUGGCGGAAUGCUUUACACAUGCAAGUCGAACGGCAGCACGGACUUCGGUCUGGUGGCGAGUGGCGAACGGGUGAGUAAUGUAUCGGAACGUGCCCAGUCGCGGGGGAUGACGGAGUGAAAAUUAUGCUAAUACAGCAUACGAUCCAUGGAUGAAAGCGGGGGAUCGCAAUACCUCGCGCGCUUGGAGCGGCCGAUAUCAGAUUAGGUAGUUGGUGGGGUAAAGGCCCACCAAGCCAACGAUCUGUAGCUGGUCUGAGAGGACGACCAGCCACACUGGAACUGAGACACGGUCCAGACUCCUACGGGUGGCAGCAGUGGGGAAUUUUGGACAAUGUGCGAAAGCCUGAUCCAGCCAUUCCGCGUGCAGGAUGAAGGCCCUCGGGUUGUAAACUGCUUUUGUACAGAACGAAAAGGUUUCUACUAAUACUAGGAGCUCAUGACGGUACUGUAAGAAUAAGCACCGGCUAACUACGUGCCAGCCGCCGCGGUAA
rnacentral:rRNA from 1 species